UUUUUUAGUAAUUACAAAAUAAAUUGAAUUGAAUGAAAGCAGCUAAUUAUAUGUAAAUUUGCUGAUGUUUUUAAAAGCCUAAUCUUUCAAAUAUCUCCCUCCUUUUUUUAAAAAACUAAUUUUCAGUGUUAGAAUUUAGUUUUUGUAGGAAUGAAAUAAAUAAAAUAUCUAACUCAGUUGAACAGUUCUUACUUGUUACUACUGGUACUACUUGUAUUGUUCUCUGCUAGAUAUAUAUCGCUUUGCUUGUAUUUUUCUCAUUUGUUAGUCGCUUUAGAUAAAAGCAUCCGCUAAGUGAAUAAAUGUAAUGCACUUUAAAUCUAUUCAUUUAUUUUACAUCCCCACCCCCAUCUGUUUACAUGUUUUCACAUCACGGCUACUUUGGUGACAGUUUGUUAGCUAAAUUAUAUAGCAUGAUACAUAUCCCUGCUUGAGUGUGCGAGCAUACUUGACCAAUAAAACUGAUUCUGAAUCUGAUUCAGAAAAAUGGCAGUGAUCCGUACGGAAGCCGAAGGAAUCGACUCAUAUUGAAGAGCUAAGCCAAAGGAUUCGGUUCACUUAAAAGAGCCAGUGCUUUCCAUCAUUGAAGGAAGUGAAGUGCGCGGUGAAAAAGCAUCAUAAUGGACGCUACAGUGGCAUGUAAUAAUUGUGGCUUACCGUACACGUUGUCUGAGGGUAAGGUUGUGGGGAGGCUGCCCCAUGUGCUCUUCUGUGUGGAGUGUCUCUGCUCUCUGGAGUGUCCUCAGGACUCCAACUCUGUCCCCUCAGUCAGCUGUCCCGAGUGUAGGACGGUUUUUGCUAUGUGGGCCAAUCUCAGCUGAAAGCAGGUGUACUUGCGGCAGGUCCAUACUCUGUGUAGCGGUGUGUAUCUGCUUUUUCGAGUUCGUUAAGUCACAGACGGGCCACAGCUAAAAUUAAGGAGCUCAGCCGCCUGGAAAACACUUUUGACGGUUAAAUCAGUUAGGAUACUCGAGGCUGCAGUCAUUCUUCGUUUUCAAGAGGAAUCAUUUCAGCUGAAGAAGCCAUGCUGAGGGAGGUGUUAACUAAAUUAGAGAUGGUGCUGGACCAACAAACCACUGAGAUUGCUUCAACUACAGGAGGUCCAGGUGCAGCCUUUGGAUAUUGAUGAAGAUUUACUGCCCCUGCAAGACCUUCCUCAACUGUGUAGUCUGGAGCGAAGGAUGCAACAGAGCCCAGAUUACAAGCAAAAUCUGUUUCAGGUAAACUGGUUGGAGCUUAUUGACAGGGCGGAUGUGCUCAACUGCACCUGGUGCAUAUUGGUGAUUACUAACUCCCUGGAAAAGAACCUCAAUUGGAGGGGAAUCAAUAGAAAGACUUCACUGUCCGCUCUCCAACUCGGAGAGGUCGUGAUUGUUCAUAGAAACCUCUUUACGGCUAAUGCUGCAGAGAUGGAGGUCGAGAGGACCAUGAAGAGGUGGCUCCAGCUGGCAUCAGAUCAAGAGUGUGAGUGCAAGAGAAGUCUUUUGCAAAAGGAAGCUACCAGGAAUCCUGAAGAAGGACGAGUGCAUUGGAGCAGUCGUGCCGCAUGCGGGGGCAAACAUCAGGCUUCGGCAGACAGAGGUUCUGAAGAGGGCCAGCCUGAUCGAGACGGUAUGAGGCAGAUCACCCACCGCGAAGAUCAUCGUCUCUGGACCUCUUCCCUCAUACAGAUGUGGAGCUGAAAAGUUCAGUAGACUUCUAGCAUUAAAUGAUUGGUUAGUUUCUUGGUGUAAUUAACAGGAAUCUGCUGUUUGUUAAUAACUGGAAUCUGUUCUGGGAGCGUCCUAGGUUGUUUCGUCCUGAUGGCCUGCACUCCAGCAGCUUCGGAGCGGAACUGCUGUCUGACAACAUCUCCAAGACACUACAAACCAAGUGACUGCCUACCGUCAAAUUAUUCGUAAACAUGGAAUGAACUUCCACUGUUAUGCUGAUGAUACAGAGCUGUAUGUUUGCAACUGAACAAUAACAACAAUAAACAACAACUGAAGAAUAGCGAAAAACUCCAACUGUUUUCGUGCUUACUUGAAGACGAUGAGGCGGAGCAGCAUCGGAGAGACAGUUCGCUCCAUUCUCCAAAGAAUCGGGGAGAACAGUCUGUGGUGUAUGUUUUCGUUGAAAGCGCCAAAAGGUGGGAAGCUGGCUUUGACUGAUCAGGAUGAAGUGUAUGGCCUUGUACACUAUAUUGCCGAACAAGCACAUGGACGUGAAUAUACUGUUGCCGGUUGCAGAGAGGCCAUCGGCAGCUACCUAAAAAAUGCCCCAGGCAGGAAAAGUGUCAAGAAACACAUUGUGUUUAUGAUGAAGCAGAGCUACAUGGGAUCUCUAGUGCGUCCUGCAAGAAUUGGGCCUUAGUCCAGUUCAGAUUCAAUUUUGUAAUUCCUCUCCCUCGCGUGACAGCCUCCAAACAGUACAAUUCUAAUGAGCUUGAAUAUACGGAGAAUUCCAUUGGGUUUGAUGUCUGACUAAUAAUUUUUUUCUUUGAUUAGCAAUACAUAGGAACUAUAUCUGGCUAUUUUGUGUGUUACAAUAUUGAAUGUCAUUUUUCAGCUUUUAACUUCGUCUGCAUUUACUAAAAUUCAUGCAUGUUUAUUAAAAAUAUUCAUGGAGUUUGUUAAACUAUAUAAUUGUUGUCUGUCAUUCAUAAGAUUCGUCAUGUGAAUUCCAUAGACCAGAAUCUAACAUCCACAUUAUUGAAGCUUGUUUAAUUACGGGUUUGUUAAAGCAUGCGGUAUGUUAUAUGCUUUAAUUGUAUCUUGCCACAUAAUGUUGGAAAAUGAGUACUUGUGUACUUUUCAAGAAAUUAGAUACAAAAAGGAUUACACAUAUCUGAUUAGAAAAAAUAGCAUCAUAAUGUGUGUAACUUUGUGUAUAAAUAUUGUGUAGUGUAUUUACACCACAUUAUGAGGUGUAUAUACAGGCAAUUACAAAAUACUAUGUGCAUGUUGUUGAGUCUUUCUGGAAUUCUAUAUCCCUGUUUUAUAAAGCACUGAAUGGUUUGGGUCCAAUAUAUAUUUCUGAUCUACUGGUACAUUAUGAACCAUCCAGACCUCUGAGGUCAUCUGGAACAGGUCUGCUUUCUGUUCUCAGAGUCAAAACUAAAUGUGGAGAAGCAGCAUUUAGUUUUUAUUCUCCACAUAUCUGGAACAAACUCCCAGAAAACUGCAGAUCUGCCAAAACUGUCAGUUCUUUUAAAUCAAGACUGAAGAAUUUUCUUUUUGCUGCUGCUUUUAAAUCAAUCAUCAAGGUAUUUUAAUUAAUAUCUUAUGCUGCACUGUAACCAUUUAAUCUGUUUUAACCUGUUUUUUAUUUGUUUGUUUUUAUUACUUUUUUUAAAAUUUAUUUUAUAUAAUGUGUAUGAACUCUUUUUAAUGUCUUCUUUUUAAAUGUUGCUUUGUGUUGCUUUUAUGUAAAGCACUUUGAAUUACCCUGUUGCUGAAAAUGUGCUAUACAAAUAAAUUUGCCUUGCCUUUGUG